UCUCCGUAGGUGAACCUGCGGAGGGAUCAUUAACGAGUACGGGCCCGCAAGGGCCCAAUCUCCCACCCAAUGUUGUCGAGAAAACACCGUUGCCUCGGCGGGCAGGCGGGCCGCGACUGGCCCGCCGCCUGGACCCCUCGGGGCUUCCGAACCCCGCCGGCGGACAAACACAACCCUGUCAAUGAACAAAAAUUGCGGUCUGAGCGAGAUUUAUCAAAUAAAAAUCAAAACUUUCAACAACGGAUCUCUUGGUUCUGGCAUCGAUGAAGAACGCAGC
rnacentral:misc_RNA from 1 species